GCUGAGUUGGAUGCCUGCAACAGAAGACACAGUCACUCUUGCUUCUGCGCCUCCCAGCAGGAUCACUGGACUUGGGUUACAUGUAUGUUCCUCGAAUAGAGCAUCUCUGCGAACAGAUCUACCAGAGGCAGCCUGUCUGGUCUGCAUGUGCUGAACCUGGGACCCUCUGUUUGGAUCUAGCAAGUCUGAAGGAACCACAUUUGUUCUUUGUCUUUUCUGACACAUUCCAUGUUUUAAGCUCCCAGAAUACAAAAGGCAGAAGUCUCUUCUGAGAUUCAUCUUUCCAAAAGUAGCACAUACUUGUCUUCACAGGAGUCAGCAGAGAAUCGCUACUUCGGCCACAGCCAGAGUCUGUGCAUCAGGUGGAGAGCUUCACCAUAACCCUGGUGACCCCACGUCCCCAGUGCCAAGAGCAGAAAAGCAGCUUUUGCUGAGAAUGAGGCUCUGCCCACAUGUGAUCCUGCUUCACCUGAUUCACCAGCCCAUGUCACACUGGCAGUUCCCAUGACACCCAGAACCAAGGAGGAACACUUAAUUUCUUUCUUAUCCCCUGGUUUUUGAAGACAGGGUUUCUCUGUGUAGCCUUGGUUGUCCUGGAACUUGCUUUGUAGACUAGGUUGGUCUCAAAUUCACAGAGAUCCACCUGUCUCUGCCUCCUACAUGCUGGCAUUAAAGGCGUACACUACCAAGCCUGGCUGCAACGUUUAAUUUCUAAUAGUUAAUAAA